rnacentral:rRNA from 1 species
UACAGAGGUCCCAAGCGUUGUUCGGAUUCACUGGGCGUAAAGGGUGCGUAGGCGGUCGGGUAAGUCUGAUGUGAAAUCUCACAGCUUAACUGUGAAACUGCAUUGGAUACUAUCCGGCUCGAGGAAUGGAGGGGAGACUGGAAUACUUGGUGUAGCAGUGAAAUGCGUAGAUAUCAGGAGGAACACCUGUGGCGAAAGCGGCGCACUGGACCACAACUGACGCUGAGGCGCGAAAGCUAGGGGAGCAAACAGG